GCUCCGCAUGCUGAGGCCGGGCGCAAACUCAUUGCAGCCGCGGGGCGGCUCUGCCGCUUUAAGCGGCCUUGCCCAUUGUUUGCCCCCCGACCAAUGGCCGGGCCCAGCUCCCCCGCGCCUGGCCAAUGGGGAUGGCGCAGGGGAGUGAGCGCGCCGCCCACUAAUCUAUAUUAAAGCUAGUGGCGCCGCGUGAGUUCUCCACUGGCUCUGGCCAAAGCCAUCUUUGCAUUGUCUCUGCCCUGCUGCGCGCCGCUCCUCGGGCUGCCGGACCUGCCCCUCGCUUAUUUUUGUAUCAGAUCUAUUUUAUAUACACCUCUCCCCACGCACCAUGUCGGACACAGCCGUGGACACCAGCGCGGAGAUCUCCACCAAGGAUCUAAAAGAGAAGAAAGAAGUUGUGGAAGAGACAGAAAAUGGCAGAGAUGCACCAGCCAACGGCAAUGCUGAGAACGAGGAAAACGGCGAGCAGGAGGCUGACAAUGAAGUAGACGAAGAGGAAGAAGAAGGCGGCGAAGAAGAGGACGAGGAGGAAGAGGGUGAUGGUGAGGAAGAGGACGGCGAUGAAGAUGAGGAAGGCGACGCACCCACAGGCAAACGGGCAGCUGAGGAUGACGAGGACGAGGACGUCGAUCCCAAGAAGCAGAAAACCGACGAAGAUGACUAGGCAGCACAUAUAUAUAUUUUUUAAAAUAAGGAGAAAAACAAACAAAAGGCCAGCGCGACCUGUUCACUUUCAACGUCCCGUCGCAACCCCCCUGCCGUGGUCACCCUUCCCAAGUAGAGCGAACCUGCCCGCGAAGCCGCCGCCACUCGGAACGAAUGCCCGAAAAGAUUCCCCCCCAUCAGUGGGGCGAGAACCCCUCUUUCCCCAGCACCAAAACUUCAAGGCCCUGCUUUCUUUCUUAAAAAUACUUUAAAGGAGAAUUUGUUUGUAUUUUUUAUUUACAUUUUAUAUUUUUGUACAUAUUGUUAGGAGGUCAGCCAUUUUUAAGUGAUCUCGGAUUGACCAAAUGGGGGGCUUUGAAGUGUGUGUCUCUCUCUCUCGUUACCCAUCUCUGACUUUACUUGUGGUGUGACCGCGUCCCAACAAACCAUUCUCCCGAAGGAGGAAAAACGACCUUGUAAAAAAACAAAAACGCAAAAAAAAAAAAAUUUACAAUCUUAUUCCGAGCAUUCCAGUAACUUUUUUUGUGUCUGUCCUUUAGCUGUACUAUAAGUAGUGGGUUUGUAUGCGAUGGCAAGGCCAAAGAGAAAAGGUUUUUUUGGUUUUUUUUCUGUCUAUGAAGUUGCUGUUUAUUUUUAUUUUUAUUUUUUUUUGGCCUGUUUGAUGUAUGUGUGAAACAAUGUUGUCCACCAAUAAAGCGGAAUUUUAUUUUGCUGAGUUGUUCUAA
rnacentral:lncRNA from 1 species